UGGCGAACGGGUAAGUAACACGUGGGUGAUCUGCCCUGCACUCUGGGAUAAGCCUGGGAAACUGGGUCUAAUACCGGAUAGGACCAUGCUUUAGUGUGUGUGGUGGAAAGUUUUUUCGGUGUAGGAUGAGCCCGCGGCCUAUCAGCUCGUUGGUGGGGUAAUGGCCUACCAAGGCGGCGAUGGGUAGCCGGACUGAGAGGUUGGUCGGCCACAUUGGGACUGAGAUACGGCCCAG
rnacentral:rRNA from 1 species